CCAAAAGAAAAUCGAGAAGAAUACAUUUCUCUCUUUUCUUUCUCUUUCUUCUUCUUUGUUCUUCUUCUUCUUCCUUCUUCUCUUUCCCCUGUUCUUUCUCUUCUGCAUGUGAGUUUGAGAGAUCAAAAGAGAAGCUUUGUGAUCAUUAGAAGAUGGAGAGUGUCAUGGAAUAAUUAAUGGUGAUGGCGAGGUUACCUUAAGAUGAUUCAUACUCGAGAAAAUAGAUGUUUUAGAGAAGAUUAAGUUACGAUUUCUGAAUGAUUAAGAUUGAUUAAGUAUGUGGAAUCGAGUAUGAAAUCAAUUAAUCGGAAGUGGGUUUUGUGUAUCAAGAGCAGAGGAGAAGAGUGGUUAUCCAAUUCUUGGUUCACAGUGAAGAUUUGGCGAGUUAGGGUUUGUAAUAAUUUCUGAGAAGAUUAGGAAAGAUGAAAUUGAAGGUCGAAGGAGAAAUUAGAAGAUGGGCUUAUUCUUAAUUGAUGAUUGAUUGAAGUUGUGGUGUUGUUUAUGAUUGAAUCGGUGAGUUAGGGUUUCUCAAGAUGAACUGGAAGUUCGAUUAAUGAUGUAUAAGAGGAAUUAAAGAUUGGGUUUGGCUGAUUGAGGAAAGGUUGAAGUUUAAUUGAUGACGUGAAGUUUUUCUGAAGUUGAACUGAAAGGAAAAGGUAAUUGGGGUUUCUGAUGAAGAAUAAUUAUAGAUUGAAGAGUUAGAGUUUUCAUGGAGAUGAUGUUGAAGUUAGUGAGUUUUGGAUGAACUGAGUUGAGGGGUUGAUGUUGGUCUUGGGUGAAUUGCCGAACCGAGUCAAGUGAAGAAGAGAUUGAGAUUCAAUUACUUGAGUAACUCAAUUUUGAGGUAUUUGUUUUUAUUAAUAAUAAUCAGUUCAAGUUCUUUGAGUUUAUAUGUUCUUAAUGAAUUAAGAAUUGUCAUGGAAUUGUUGGGUAUGUGUUGAGAUGUCUUGAGUGGUGUUGAUGAGAAUUGAAUUGAAAACAGCUCUUGGUUUAGCUAUUGUAAGGAAGUUUGAGUAUGAGCUUCAUGUAUCUGGUAAUGGAGUAGAUGUGAUGUGUAAUCAUUAUGAUGUUAAUGAAGUGAUACUGCAGGUGGUGAUGAAAAUGAUUGUAAUUGGUGGUCUGGUGUUACAAUGGAAGUCUAUAGGUGUUGUAGCUUAUGAAUGUCAUGAAUUGGCAGAGGUGAUGGUGUUGCAGUUCUUGAAGUUUUCAGUGUCACUGAAAUGGGAAAUAAACUAUUGUAGGUGCAAGGAGAAUGGAAUUGGCAGGGUAAUGAAGUUGUGGUAUUACAGCUGUUUGUUGUGCAGAUGAAGUGAUUAGUGGAUGAUAUGUAUAUCAGAAUUAAAAUAGAAAUGAGACUGGUGGAGAUGGAAUUGGAAUUGGUUUGGGUGUGUGUGUUGGUGGUUUAAGGAGUUUUUUAACAGUUCAGUUGAGGGAGUGAACUGAAUUUAGAAGAAGCUGAGUAUUUCUUGGUAUUACAAUUACAGGUAACAUGGGUUUGAAUUUAAAGUGAGUUAUGAAGUUUAUAUGCAUUGAAUCUAUGAUUGAAGUGUUAAGCUGAAGUUGAUAUUUGUGAACAAUCUGGUAGAACUGAAUGGAAAGUAGUUAGAUGGUUGAUUAUAGAGUUGUAGAUAUUGUUGGCUGUGAAAAGCUUGGAACUGCAUAUUGCAGUUAGUCUAUUAACAACGAUCGAUUCAAAGGAUGAACCAGUGGAUCAUGGAUCUCGAGGUAGGCGUGGCUUGUCAUCAAAAGAGUUUCAGAGCAGAUCAGAGAUGCGCAGCGAAAGAUUCGAGGAGUUGAGUCUGUUUGUUAGAUUACUUUUACUAUGUUUAUUAUAUUGUAUAUUGUAUUUGUAAACCAAAUGACUAUUGUAUAUGUAUCAUUUGAGAGGAGUUCUUGUAUAUAAAUUUCA